AGACAACAGUCACAGGUCGCAGCUCUCCGGGUGUUGGCUAUCGGUGCUCACAAUAAUCUGGCUAUGCGCCCUCAAGGGGCCUUCCAGGUGUCGUCAGGCGCCGUCAGGGACCGUAGUCGUCGUCGUUGAGGAGACGGAAAGAGGUUAAGAAUAGGAGAGAGAGAGAGAGAGAGAUUGUGCCAAAAUCGUUGGCAGGAAGAUGAAAGAUACCGAUAAGCGAUAAUCGCGGCACGGUUGAGUUUCGCAUACUCGGAGGCGACGACCCCUGGGACGAGCAGCCUGGUCACCCAUCACCCGAUGCCAAUUAUCCCAAUUACAACGUCCAAUCAGCGCGCAUAUCGCACCAACCGAAAGGCGAAACUGCUCAUUAAAUCCGGCUUUAAUGCCCUUCCACCGCGUCUCGUAAUGGAAUGGACUCAUCGCUGGCCUCUCUGCCGCGAAAUGGGGAACGUACGUUGCCCGCGCCCCGCUGGGCCCGGCGAGGUUGUCCAGGGUCAUUCGAUUCAAAGGAAGGUCACGUCAAGGUCAUAGACUCACCACCCAAUGAUUACAACGCGCGAUCCAGCCCGCGCACAGGACUCGGUGGCCUCUGCCCGGCUACGGGCUUCGUUUUCGUCGGACGAAUGCGCUGGUAUACCUUGUUCAGCCACCGUAUACGAUUAUUCUUUCAUUAGGCUACAGCUCCGUACUUGUUCUGGAAGGAACGUUUAUUACUUGACCCUUGCUGUGGGCGGUUGUGAAACCCUUUGUCGAUCGGAACGUGCGGGGAGCGCCUAUGGGCGUGUGGUUAAUAUACUUACUUCAUUUCAUUGCGAUUAAGCUAUGUUUAUAUUACAUACUUGUCAAGAUUUUUUGUAGAGGUAUUUUAUUACAUAGUAGAGUAGGUUUAGUCUUACACUCGGUCAGAUUUGGAUUUUACUUCUAGUACAGCAAGUAUAAGUUAAGACUACAUUUUAUAUAGAUGGUGUACUACAUAGACUAUUUUCAUAGAUGGUGAAUGUAGAUUAUUUUGUGAAGGUUUUUCCUCAAACGCCAUCUUUAGACAUACACCAAAACUAGUAAGUUAUCUGUCUAAAGAAAAUAAACAACUAACUGUGAAGGUUUUUAGUUUUAUAUUGUACAAAUUGCGCAUGUUACGAUUAGCCUGUAGGAUUAGUCUGUAGACGAUUGAUUUAAAACGAAGGAUCCUCAAUUCCAUUCCGGUAUAGAAGAGAUCUGAGAAUUGUCGAUAAAUCUCGAGUGAGGCCGCCUGUGGGGUGGAGUGGGGUGUAAGUAAGACGGAGGGUUUCCAUCGUUUUAUUUCCGCGGCCCAGUGGAAUGAUUUAUACGACAUCGUGGACGAUCCUCGAACUUUCACCUUCUCUGAAGAAUAUACCUUUCACGGUUGGUGCACGGUACAACGAAAAUAAAUCCAUCCUGUUUAUUGGCGAAUUUAAAUAAAUUGAAAUUACGUGACUCCGACCGUUGAUUGUUCACGGAAACUCCUGACUACAUUUAUCCAUUCUUUGCGAGACUUCCUCCUUCAACUUCUCGAGUUUUUCAUUUCUCAUUUUUAAUGUUUCAAUUUAUCUUUCUCUUUCGAAUGUCUGUUGCAAUUUUACGUUAUACAUUCAGUUGUAAAUUUUAAUUUUAAUGUAUACAGAUCUAAAGAUGAGUCACACCCACGAGUUAAAACGUUGUUAACUACUUACAUUACGGACGCCAUCAUUCCGUGUUCAUUUUUAUUCGGUACGGUUGCUACCCACUCGCCGAUACCAGGUGUAGAUUAGUUUCGUAUUGUGCAAUUAUAGUAAAUAUAGCUCAGAUACAUUAUAGACUUGGUUACUUCUAGGUUGUGCUAAUACUCCAGUCUAAGUUCCUGUUAUACAACUCUCUACAUAUAAACCAGUUCGCCAGAGCAGAUCUACACCGAUCACCCAGUCCAUCUUGCUCCUCCUCGCGGUUCCCUCAUCGUUCCGCGCUCCGCAAAGGACUAUCCAACCGGAGGAUUCACUUUCGAGUCACGUUCCAGCAUACAUCAUUCGAGCGCACCUUGACCGCAACAGGAUCAGCCGUGUAAACGAAGCCUUAACCUAGCCAGAGCAAACAGCAAGUAACGCCGGGGGCCGAAAUGAAAGAGAACGUGAACGCAAAUACGACGUAAAUCACGGCAUGCACGAGAAAUCAAUCGAACCCCGCCGAUCGGGUAUCGCGGUACAGCUGGUAUCAAUAACCCCAAUCACCGGGUUGUUGGGCACCGUGGUUGCCUCCUAACGAUGCAAUUAGAGCGGGUGGGAGUGCACGAAUUAGGCGUGAUAAAUGCCAGGAACGCCCCCGCGUGGCGUCGUUUUUCUCGCAAUCAGAAGGGCAAACGAAUUUAUUCGGUUCGCCGCCGCGAUAAACCGACGCUGCCCGCGUCAUUAAUCCUCUGUCGCGGCUGUAAUAAGCCCUUAAUCUUCGGAGCGAGCUGGCUACCAGCUCCGCCGAUCCACCGGCCACGUUUCGCGAGUAUUCCGCAAAAUUUCUGCACUCUCACGCGGUCAACCGGCGUAUUUACGGCGGAAAAGACACUUCCCGCGUCCGCGGCGAUUAAUAAAGCUAAUUAAUGCGGUUAAUAAAUAUCGUCUGGAACGCGUUAAAUCAUCCAACGAAGGUCGGCCACCGUCUUGGACGCGCGUGAAGGCUCCUGUAGUUUCAGGGGAUACCGGAGUCUCCGUUGCGAUGGAAUUUCUUCUUUAAUUCGCGAUACGUUGGACAGGCUUCCUUCUUGGAUUCGUUUUUAAAUUUUCUAGGGAGUAUGGGGAAUUGGCAUAAACGCUGCUGCAGGGGUUGGUAUGAUGAAUUGGGUCAGUAACAAUUGGUAUUACAUAAUCCGCAUGCGCAUUACAUAAAAUAGUCUAACUUUGGAAACGUGUCCUUUUCCAUAGUACUUGACUAUAAAUUCUUUGCAAACACUGCAACACUAACAAAAUUUGUUAGACUUACGAUGUCCCCUCAUAGGGAAGAUCCGAGUGCAAAGGGUUCAAAUAAAGAAACAA